rnacentral:tRNA from 1 species
UGGGUUGUGGCUCAGUGGUAGAGUGCUUGCCUAGCACGUGGGAGGCACUGGGUUCGAUUCUCAGCACCACAU